ACAGGCCCCCGCCUCCCGGAGAAAACUCCUUGGCCUACAGGUGGCGCUGCAGCUCCGGCGCCGGCCUGGGCUGGCGGGUCCUUCCGGGUGGCGGCGUUCAGCCUGCCUGUCGUAGCCUGAGGGUCCUCACUGGAAAAUCCAAGACUAUCCCUCCUGAUGAAAACAAGCAGAAAGAGAGGCCUCACCAGCAUCCUUGACUGAUCAGCCGCACAUCAGAGCCAAAUCACCAGCUAACUGUCUUCCCCAAAACCCAGGACCCCAGGAAACGCAGCCACAUAUUCAACCAAGCACAUAGGUCAUGCAGAGGAAGGGAUCCUGGGUUGAGGGUUCUAAUCCCAGCUUUGCCACCAGCCAGCUGUGUGACCUUAAGCAUGUCAUUCCCCUCAUUUGGGCUAAGAUUUCUCAUCUGGACAGUGACAUUGCUGGCUGAGGCACUAAAAGGAGUCAGAGGCUUGGGUGUUGAGAUAAUGCUGACAAAGCUGAACCACUGACUAUUUUUCAAGAAACAUUUUUACCUUCAUUGGCACAGACAGAAACUCCCAUUAAGACCUUUUGUCUCUAGCUUUUCUGCACCUGUUUUAAGCGUCAACUGAGCUGGAGGCAAUGGCUGGGCCCGCAGUGCCUGGAAAGCAGUUUCUUCAGUGGGUCAGGCAGUUCCCAGAGCCAGACAUGUCCCGGACAACACCCCCUUGUGGACAUCACAGUGGAAAUCCCUCAAAUACCAUCCUGAGCACCAUCUAAAGGAGCCUCGUCGCAAGAGCCAGUGAGGUCUGAGCAAAUCUCCAAGCCCCAAGACUGGGUGCAGCAUAAAAGACAUUUUUGAUCAGAGCAGAUGUAGGGGAGCAUGGGGGAAGCAGGCCCCCAGGAACCCGAGCUGCCUGUCCCAUGGGCCAGAGGAGGGAGGGGAGACUGGGCCAUCCCUGUUCUCCUCCUCCCUCUGAGCACCGGCAGCCUGGGAUGGAGUCACAGGAUGGAGCUUCUAGAGACAGUGACACAGGACCAGAGGGAAGGGCCCUUUGGGGUCCUGCUCAGAGCACUCCAAAAGCAAACCAGAGGUAGAGGCUCCAUCUCAGGUCUGUGCUUCUCUGGGGCCACCCAGCCAUCCUGCCUACCAGCUCAGAGGGACAAAGCCCUCCCAGGAGGCAGCAGGCAGCAAGGGCCAGCCAGCGUCCCUCCACAGCCCAUCACACUGAAAGCCGCUCUGCAGGCUUGCUUUACCUGGAGGAUGCCCACCUUAACCCCAACCCAGGCCCACUAGCAAAGAAGUCCAGGGCCUGCAGGCUCGGAAGGAAGAAGCCGAGGAGAUGUCCUGGAGGUGAGCUGGCUGCCUCAGCAAGGGAGCUCUGCUGAGCAUGUGGGUCAUGGGGUCUGAAACACAUCCAGAUGGGGCCCAGGUUGCAGGAACCUUUCAGAUGUGACAGCUGCCUCAGACCCCAGCCGGAGAGGUGAAUAGGAUUGGGGGUUGAGCCCCAGAUGCAGUCGCUGAAGGUCACAGUAGUUGGAAAAGGCCCCAAGGCCAUGCUAGGCCCCCCAAGACUCCAGGGGCAUAUGCGACUGAGGGACACUGGGCCCCUUCCCCCUACAUGGACCCGAUCAGAACCCGCAAGCCUUCCCUACCUCACUCUCCCCUCGUGUAAGUGGGGAGGGGAAAUGACUGGUCUUCCUGGAAUGUCUCCUGCCAGCAGAGACCUGAGCCCUGGCCUGGCUCUCAACCAACACAGCAGCUUCCCAGCACGGCUCCUUCGCUCUCCCUGAAUUCCUUCUCCCUCCUGGCCUCCCGCCCCUUUGUGGAAGAAAUAUCUGCUCAAGGGGAAGAGACUGCCUCAGGGCUUCCCCCACAGUAGCCAUAAUCAGGGGCCUGUGAGAAGCUGGGCAGGACACAAAGUGCCUGCCACCAUCCAGGAAACGUGCGGUGUGGCCCUGGCCCAUCCAGCUGUCUCUGAGCUUGAACUGGCUGGAGCCCUGCUCAUGGAACCCUGGCAGCUGGGGAGGCAGCCCCGGGCCUACAUCAGCAGAUGGGAAAGACGCUCAGCACAAAAGCAAAGAUGGACAUUUUGGAGAUCCAGAGAUACAGGGGCAAUAGCGCCGACUUUUAUCAGGAUGGCCUCAAGGACGCUCUGAGUCUUGGCUCCUGGGAGCAUGACGCUGCCACCACCAAGAGCGUUCCUGGUGGUAAAGCCAGGAAGGCACUGCCCUGUGGCAAAGGCCCUCGCCGGGCUCUAACCCCACCCUGAACGCAGUCUCUGAGGCAGAUCAGCUCCCAGUCACUGCCGAGCUUCCCCCACGCCCCCGCUCCUCCCUGCCCAACUCUUUUCCUCUCCAGGCUGAACAAGAUGACAAAGGACCUGGACAUCACACUGGGAGGUCAGGAAGGAGGAACCUGAGGAAGGAGGCCUCGUCCAGAGACAGGAGGUACUUGGAGGGCAUGUCGGUGGCGGCACGGGCAGGGCUGUGACCACCUGGUACACCCAGACUGACGGCUGGUCUGUGGGCAGGUGGCUGGUGGGGUGGCGGGCCUGGGGCUGUCGGGGUCGUGUUCGACACUCCCAAACUGCUGGAACAGGAGCCUUCUCCAGGCAGAACAGGGCUUCCCUGAGGACACAAGGAGAGGGGGACGAUGAGCCAACAUUCCAUACAGGAAGGAAGGGACAGUGCAGAUGUCGGGAGGAAGAGGUGGGGAACGUGCCAGCCUGUGGCUGCAGCUCAGUGGAGACCUUAGGACCAGGAGGGUGCGUCCUGUAUCAGGGGGCCCCACCUUUCGCAGCCAAGAAGCCGUGCCUCACCACGGCUUUGGUGGGCAGUGGCAUGUGAAGUGCAUGAUGGAGGCAGAGGGAAGGUCCACAUGCCCAUUUUUCUUCUGCUUUUCAUAAAUCAGUUUGAAUAUAAGGUGGGUUCGGCCAUGCCCCUCCCCUCAGCUCCAGCGCUGACUCCUACCCCUGGAGCCCCAUGUGGGGAGAGGGCUGGGGCUCAGAUGGGCCUCUGGGGACUUCCCCAGCAGGCAUCCAGGCCGUGAUGGUAGCGAGCUGGACCCAUGGCCGCUCUGCUGAAACCACAUGCCCCCUCAAAGCAGGCAGGAGCAGAGGCCUCCUGGGGUGGCUCCUCACAGUGCUGACUGCCAGGGGCAUCUCCUGGUGAGGAGGAGAGCACACCCAGCCCAGGGCCUCCGCCAAAGACACAAGAAGGGGACAGCUGCCUGAGGGCAGGGAUGCCAGGGAGCACUCCCAGGAAUUCCUCCCUCCAGGGGCAGAAGCAGACGUGGCUACUCCCCUUCGGCCUGUAGAAACCAGAGUCCAUCAGUGGCAGGGAGACCUAGCUAGUACGUCUGGUCCAGUAUUACUGGGAACCCCCUUCCCAUCUCCACACAGGCCACCUGCCCCUCUUUCCCCAUCACAGGUCUUUAGGGGUGAGGCAGCGUUUUGGACCUCCCUAGCUGGCAGCAUCUCUCUGGCCAUUCUGAGGCUACAGGCCACUUGAACCCUGAUCUAAAAGGAACACACCUCCCGACUCAUGACCACAGAGGGACAAACAUUCACUUAACCCACCUUGGACAGGCAAAGGACUCCUGCUUCACAUUAGUGACCCUGUUUCAACAAAAACCCAUACAGGAGUUUCAGUAACCAGACAACACAGUCCCCUUUCACCGCAGUGUCUCUGCACUCAGCUCCUGACAGUCUGGUGAGCUCAGGAAGGGACCAGCAUUUCACACCUCACAUGUGAGCCUGGCUGUGUCCAGAGGUGAAGCUCUAAUUCAGCAGUUGUGGCAAAGGUGGCCGGGACCCCUGAGCCAACACCUGUGCCUCCUGGGGCCAGACCUCCCCAGAACUUCCCCUGCCUCCUAUGGGGAGCCCCCUCUGACGUGUCUGAACCCUUCUCCUCUGGCCUGCAGAAGGGCGGCUGCCUUCUAUGUGGGGGGUGGGAGGCGUUCACAGCAUUCUUACCGCACCAGAGCUGGCAUGGCUGAGCUUGUCAAAGCAGAAUUUCAGGUUCGAUCUUGGGGAGUUUCUGCUUUUGGCAUCUAAGAAAAAGAAUGCCCAUGAAAGGGGUGGUGGAGCUAUACAGGGAAGGGGGCCUCCUGCCCCCCACCAGAACCAGCACUCCAGAUGACCUGUACCAGUCCAUAAGAGCCAACUCCUGGAUUACAGAAAUGUGGGGAGUGGGUUGUUCAACACAGGCCAUUUUGUAAAGUUGAAUUACAUAAGCUUAGAAUUCAAUAAAUUAUAUUCAACAGAUGUAAUAAAUACUUGAAAUUCA